AAUAACACGGGUUCUGACAUAUCACACUGGUGAAUUUGCGUUUUUACGUGCAUUUUAGCAGUAACAGAUUUACUAAUGAUGCACUCUUUAGUUUAAAAUGUCCUACAGAGACUUUGGUACUGUGCAACUCAGUCAUGUUAUGUUAUGUAAACAUGAUAACAUAUGAAUUAUGUACUUCAAAAGGGAUUCAUCAAUCUCAGAAGGUGUAAAAGUAAAAUACAAGUAACAAGUUUUCAGCAAGAGAGCUUUUUUAUGAUUUUUUUUUUUCUGGUAAUUCUUGAGAGUGACCAUGAGUAGGAUAUUACUUAUGUACAUGGUCUGGUUUGGGAUCAGUUCUAAUGCAGUGCUUCAGUUUCAUUACAGUGCCAGUGUUCCUGUCAGCACUGCACAGUUGGCAAGUUUCAGGAAAAACUAGCAAACACCCGAUAAUCUGAGCAUGAUGAACAGGCUUCCUGAACCAUCUGAUAGUCCCUCACCAUACUCACAGCACUGGCUGAGCCAAAAAUGUGUCAGACUGCUCAAAUUAGCCCCAAAACAUCCAAAAGUACCACAGAGCCAGAUUAUUUUACAGGGAAAUACAGACGUACAGUUUGUUUACUUAUAGUUGACAUUUCUGAGAUGUGGAAUCAUUUUAAAAUUGAAUAAAAGUUACAUACUUAACUUAAUAUGCAGGAUUGUGUCCACUGUGUUCAUCCUGAAAGUUUGCUUGGUAAGUCACUGCCCUGUCUGACCUCUUCCCCUGCAGCUGAAGCAGGAGGCCCAGCCAUUGCACCUGGCCUAUCAUGCAGCCCACCAUGUGAAUCGCUGCCGCCUCCUUGAGGACAAGAACAGAGCUCUUAAACUAGAGCUAGCCACUCUCAGACAGCAGAAACAGCAGCACCGAUCCCUGGAGUCAGAGGUCAAUGACUGCAGGAAAAGGUGUCAGAUCCUUGAGAGAGAAGUGAAGAACAAGACAUUAGAAUGUAAGACUUUGGUGAGUACAAGCUACAGUACGCAAUGCAUAAUGUCAUGGCUGAUAAUGUCAGACAGUCAUUUGUGCUCUUUUGGUGCACUCCAUAAAGUAUAAUCCACAGCUAGUACACUGGUCUUGUUCUACUGUGUAUUUUUCUGAAAUGCAUGUCCUUCCCUAAAUUGUCACCAUAUACUUCAGUAAAUUUGGAAUUGACAUACAGUACUUAAUUAUUAAUCAUUUGCAUAGAUUUGUCCAUUUCCAGCAAGGUUUGCAUAUUGAUUUUUAAAAAGUAAGGAUUUAAAGUGAAGGAUUUUGACACUAAUCUAAGACAGAAUUCUUGCAAAUAACUUCUGCAAAAUUUAAAGCCUUUGGACUACAUGAGAGC
rnacentral:lncRNA from 12 species